CUGCUUCUGUUGUGCUGCUCUCCCAGCUUCUCAGUUAAUUAAGCUUGCCUUGCCUUGUCAUCUCCCUUUCUUCUAUUUUCUUCCCUCCUUGGCUCAGUCCUAAGAGCCAUAGUCCUGCAAGGGCCCAAUGAAGCCUUCAAAGAGGGGAUAUGACCUCUCGUAAACCAGAAACCUGGCAGCUGUUUUCUCACCAGCUCCCUACAAUCUCCAACCCCAUGGGAUAAGCACUGGGCUAACUAGUUCUGCUUGAAUGUCCAGCUGCAAACCAGCUUGCUUAAACCUUCCUAGAAGAGCUGCUACUUAAACUCGCACUAUUGUUAGGAUGAGUGUGUUUGCUUGGAUGGAAGUAAGAGAUAAGCAUGUGAAAGGUAAGAGCCAAUAGCAUCUGCGUACUAAAGGACAUUUUAAAGAAAUGCUUAUUUCACAUAAAUUUAUAUGUAAGUCUUCAAAAAAAAGACACUCUUCUAAUAUAAAGAUGAAUACAGUAGUCUUAAGUGCAUUACUGAAAUUAGGGUUAUUAGCUUGAAUAUAUUUCAGAUACCUCUGCUCACUGAAACCAGUUUGUAGCACUCUUCACACAAAUGGCUGGGGACUGGUUUUCCACUCAUCUCUUGAAGAUAUCAGUAUCUAGAAGAUUUCUGUGAUCUGUUCAGACUUUCAUGAUCAAACAGUGACUUAUCUGUGACCAACUAUCUAUAUCACUGGGUAGGAACUAAGAAUUGGCUGGUGGUUUGCAACAGAACAAACACAAAGGGUCUAGGGAAAUACUGUGUUUAAAUCAGCAAAAAUGUGGAAGAUGACGAUGCAUCUUUGAUUUCAGGU